rnacentral:lncRNA from 1 species
GGGAAUUGGGGAAUACUAAUAACAAAGUUCUAUGGGAGAUUUUUCUCUGUAAGUAAAGUUCAAAACCUUUGGAAGGAAGUGAUCAUGUUUGUGCAAGGAGAAUAUGAAGGAAUAGAUCAAGCUUGGGACAAACUACUCGAACAAGGACCUAAGCUUGGAUUAUUAGGUGAUGUGUUGUGGCAUACAUUCUAUUUUUCACUAACCCAAAAAUGUUAGGAAUUUGUUCAAAUGUGUGCAAGAGGAGACCUUAUGGAGAAAACACUCAGGGAGGUUGCACAAAUUUUAUAGAAAAUCAGCAGAGGAGCAGCCGUAAAUAGAGAAUGGGAUAGCUAUCAAUCUGGAGCACAAGAGCAAGGAAAUCAAGGACAUAUACUUGCUGAAAUUUUC